AUGGAGAUGCAGCCUUUGCUGACCUUGCCGCUGGAGGCUGAACGUGGGCGCAGCGUCGCGCGGCACCCCUCACCGCGCGCUGCCCGGCGUCGGUCCCAGGAGAGCCUCACGCCACCAGUCUCGCCUCCGCUGUCACCAACUACCGUCCUUCCGCCGUCUCCUAGGUCCAUGAGGAAUGAAGCCCGGUCGGCUGCGCUUGUGCCGAACAUGCCAGGCCCGGCGCUGCUCGAGCUUUGCUUGCCCCAGAUGCUGCUGCUGCCUGUUCGGUCGCCUUCCAGGCCCCCAGGGUUUGAGGCCUCCCCAACGCCACCUCUGUUGUCUAGUGGGGUCCUGCGCCGCACUCCAUCGCCCGUGCGGCAUCGUAGGGCUGCCGUCGGUGCGGUCGGCCUCCAGUGCCUUGCACCCCUGUUUGAAGAUCGCCAGGAAACCAUCCUGCCCACACCCACCCCCAACGCCACCCCGAGCUCCUGCUGCACACAAGAAAACCAUGGCUGGUGUGACCAUCUCCAGGGUUGGCGGUGCUCUUUCGCAGCACAAGACACGGGCGGCAAGCCGCCCCAGGGCCACGCCGGUGGCUACAGCGGCAGAAAUUCUGGUCUGUCGCUCCCUCGGCAUCGUCAAGGAUAG
rnacentral:rRNA from 1 species